rnacentral:rRNA from 1 species
CCUACGGGGGGCAGCAGUGGGGAAUAUUGCGCAAUGGGCGAAAGCCUGACGCAGCGACGCCGCGUGAGGGAUGAAGGUCUUCGGAUCGUAAACCUCUGUCAGCAGGGAAGAACGGUCACUGUGCUAAUCAGCAGUGAAUUGACGGUACCUGCAAAGGAAGCACCGGGUAACUCGGUGCCAGCAGCCGCGGUAAUACGGGGGGUGCGAGCGUAAAUGGGAAUGAUGGGGCGAAGAGGGUGCGAAGGGGGCGUGCUAAGUCUGGGGUGAAAGGUACCGGCUAACCCGGGAAAGGCACUGGAAACUGGCGUGCUAGAGUGCAGGAGAGGGAGGUGGAAUUCCAAGUGUAGCGGUAAAAUGCGUAGAUAUAAGGAGGAACACCAGUGGCGAAGGCGGCCGCCUGGCCUGUUACUGACGCUGAGGCUCGAAAGCGUGGGGAGCAAAUAGGAUUAGAUACCCCAGUAGUC